AUCCAAUCCCAGACCCUCCCUCAAAGACUAAGCUACCACUCCGAAGUGCAGCCUGGGUCAGCGAGAGCUGGCGUGCAGGACCACCAUGUAGCUGACAAGGCAUUGAGCCCUCCUACCUGGAAAAGCCUCUGAUUCUUGGAGGAAGAGGACGCAAGCCAGCAAUGACACAGUAACAGCCUUAGUCUCAGUUCCCACCAAAACACAGAGCAUUUCCUGUGCCUUUUCCGUUAUUUCACAAGCUGCAUCUUCUAUUCUCCGGGCACCAAGACAGACAGUAGUUUUUUCCCUCAGAAGCAGGACAACUGCCUCCAGUCUCUUCUGGUCAACACCAUGGCCAGGACGCGGAGUGACCAUCUCCUGUACUCCCUGGAAGAGCUUUUGCCCUAUGACUUCGAGAAGUUCAAGUUCAAGCUGCAGAACACCAGCCUGGAGAAGGAGCACACCCGGAUCCCCCGGGGCCAACUGCAGACAGCUGAGCCGGUGAAGCUGGCCUCUCUGCUGGUCAACCACUACGGGGAGGAGUACGCGGUGCAACUGACCCUGCAGGUCCUGAGGGCCAUCAACCAGCACCUCCUGGCAGAGGAGCUUCACCGGGUGAUCAGCCCAGAGUGUUGGAUACAAGAAAGUGACACAGACAGCUCAGCAACGUCAGGUUCCUCUGGGGAGAUGAAGCCCAAGAGCCUAAAGACCUCAGAUGGCCUGGAAGGUGACAAGCAGCGACAAAGUGCUGAUGGGGCUGGCUGCCCACCCUCCAGCCAGCCUGAGGCUGGCAGGGGGCCCCAGAAGAAGCCUCUGGGCAAGCAGCGAGAUCAGAAAGGCUCUGAGGGCCUGGAGGUGCAGGGCAAGCUGGGGGCCAGGACCACGACUCUGUCUUCCAAGAGAAGCCCCGUCCUCCCCAAGGUGCCACGGGAGAAGGAGAAAGGGAGCUAUCCAGGUGUCAGGCUGCGGAGGAACGCCAGCUCUGCAGGAAGGCUCCAGGGACUCACCAGCGGGUCAUUCGCUGGGUCCCCAGGAAGGAGAGAAACAAAGACAUCAGAAGUAUGUUUACCUUCAGGAAAGAAGCGACCCAAAAGUCUUGAAUUUACCAUUUCUCCAGAAGAGACAGGACCCCUCCAUCCAGAAACUCUUCUGCUUCAGGAGAAGAUGAACACUGAGAAUCCAAGCUCAGCAACCACUGCCAGCGAAGUGGCCACUCUGAAAACAGGGCCAGCCGCGACUCUGGAGAAGGGCUCCAGGAAUCCAGAGCAUGCCACGACCCUGGAGGGGACAGCACUCAGGAAUACACCUCUCAGUGUACCGCUGGCUGGAAAGACGAGGAUUGGGGAGCAUCUAGAACCCACAGCUCCUGCAGAGAGGAGUGGAACUGGGGCCCUGAAGGCCUCCAGUGUGCCCCAUGAGCCGUCAGAUCCAGAAGUCUCUCCGUCUGCAGGGAGGCUGCAGGACAAGGCUGUGUGUCCUCUCUGCCGUGCCCAGGAAGGAGACCCGGUUGGUGGCAGCUGUGUGCACAUCUCCUGCAGCUGCUCUGCGGCUUCCAGGAACCCUGAGGCCUCACUCAGCCGCUCAUCCAGCUGCCCCCGGUGCCAGGACUUGCUCCCAGGGAAGAGCCACGGAAGCCGUGAGUGGCAGGAGGGCCUGCAGAUGGCCAGCCUGAACCCCAAGAACCUGCCACAGUGUGAGCGUCACAUGAAGCAGGUGCAGCUGCUCUUCUGCGAGGACCAUGGGGAGCUCAUUUGCCUUAUCUGCCGGCUGAGCCAGGAGCACCGGGGCCACCGGGUGCGCCCCAUUGAGGAGGCUGCCCUGGAAUACAAGGAGCAAAUUCAGAAGCAGUUGGAACAUCUGAAGGAGUUGAGAAAAUCUGGAGAGGAGCAGAUAUCUCAGGGGGAUAAGAAAACAGUGAACUCCCUGAAACAAGCUGAAACCCAGAAGCAGAGAAUCCAGUGCCAGUUGGAGCAGCUGUGCCAGUUUUUAGAGCAGCAGGAGCGGCUCUUUGUGGCCUGGCUAGAGGAACUGGGCCAGACCAUCGGCCAGGUUAGGGAGACGUACGGCACCCGAGGGACGAGAGACAUUGCCGUUCUCGACAAGCUGAUUGGGGAGCUGGAGGCCAAGCAGUGCCAGCCAGAGUGGGAGUUUAUGAAGGACAUUGGAGUCACCUUGCACAGGGCCAAGAUGGUGACUGUCCCUGAGCUGUGGGCCACGCCACCAGAGGUGAAAGAGAAGAUCCACCUGCUCUACCAGAAAUCAGAGUUUGUUGAGAAGCGCAUGAAGCACUUCUUGGGUAGGUGGGCUUGCGGGAGAAUGGGAGGAGCCCCCUCACCUGCCCUCAGGAGCCGUGUAGCCUGGGCCCCCUGGCAUUUCUUCUCCAUCUCUCUUGUCCUUUCUGUUUUGCCUUCAGCCUCUCCCAGAUCUGUCCCCAUCUGGGGAACCUAACUUGAACUCCUUCUCUCCUUUUAGAGACCCUGCGCUCAGAAGUGGAAAUGUUCAAUGUUAAUGUGAUUCUGGAAGCAGAAACUAUCCACUCCAACCUCAUCUUUCAUCUUCUCUGAUGACGUGAAGAGAGUGAGCCUUGGAGAAAAAAAGUGGGACCAUCUGCCUGCUAGUCCAGGAAGAUUCUAUAGCUGAAUCGUGGUGCUGGGCUCUCUAAGCCUGCUCUCUAGCCACCAUGACUGAGAAGUGAAGG